rfam:Triticum aestivum genome assembly, contig: Triticum_aestivum_CS42_TGACv1_scaffold_320397_4BL
CUAGUACUUCCUCCGUCUGAAAAUACUUGUCAUCAAAAUGGAUAAAAGAAGAUGUAUUUAGACGUAUUUUAGUUCUGGAUACAUCUUUUUUUUCAUUUUGAUGACAAGUAUUUUCGGACGGGGGGAGUACUUU